UACGUAGGGGGCAAGCGUUGUCCGGAAUCAUUGGGCGCAAAGCGCGUGUAGGCGGCUCGGUAAGUCUGCUGUGAAAGUCCAGGGCUCAACCCUGGGAUGCCGGUCGAUACUGCCGGACUAGAGUUCGGAAGAGGCGAGUGGAAUUCCCGGUGUAGCGGUGAAAUGCGCAGAUAUCGGGAGGAACCCCUAUGGCGAAGGCAGCUCGCUGGGACGUUACUGACGCUGAGACGCGAAAGCGUGGGGAGCAAACAGG
rnacentral:rRNA from 1 species